GGGGAAUUUUGGACAAUGGGCGCAAGCCUGAUCCAGCCAUGCCGCGUGAGUGAAGAAGGCCUUCGGGUUGUAAAGCUCUUUCGCAAGGGAAGAAAACGUGUGGGCUAAUAUCCUGCGCGGAUGACGGUACCUUGACAAGAAGCACCGGCUAACUACGUGCCAGCAGCCGCGGUAAUACGUAGGGUGCGAGCGUUAAUCGGAAUUACUGGGCGUAAAGCGUGCGCAGGCGGUUGUGUAAGACAGGUGUGAAAUCCCCGGGCUUAACCUGGGAACUGCGCUUGUGACUGCACGGCUAGAGUACGGCAGAGGGGGGUGGAAUUCCUGGUGUAGCAGUGAAAUGCGUAGAUAUCAGGAGGAACACCGAUGGCGAAGGCAGCCCCCUGGGCCUGUACUGACGCUCAUGCACGAAAGCGUGGGGAGCAAACA
rnacentral:rRNA from 1 species